rnacentral:rRNA from 1 species
AGGCUUUGAUCCUGGCUCAGGAUGAACGCUGGCGGUCUGCUUAACACAUGCAAGUCGAACGGAGUACUUCGGUACUUAGUGGCGGACGGGUGAGUAACGCGUGAGAAUCUGCCCUUAGGACGGGGACAACAGCUGGAAACGGCUGCUAAUACCCGAUGUGCCGAGAGGUGAAACAUUUUAUGGCCUGAGGAUGAGCUCGCGUCUGAUUAGCUAGUUGGUGGGGUAAGAGCCUACCAAGGCGACGAUCAGUAGCUGGUCUGAGAGGAUGAUCAGCCACACUGGGACUGAGACACGGCCCAGACUCCUACGGGAGGCAGCAGUGGGGAAUUUUCCGCAAUGGGCGCAAGCCUGACGGAGCAAGACCGCGUGCGGGAGGACGGCCUAUUGGUUGUAAACCGCUUUUGAUAGGGAAGAGGCACUGACGGUACCUAUCGAAUCAGCAUCGGCUA